GGUCGGUGUAGACGUUGAAGAAGAGCCCCUCCCUGAGAUCCUGGUACACCAGGCCGGAGAAGCUGAGCUGCAGCACAUACCGGCCCCCGGGCUGCAGAGCGCCGCCGAGCUCCAGCACCAGAAUAAUUAUGGCCACCGGCAUCACUCCCAGAAGAUCCUGGGUAGAGCAGCGGGAGAAGAAGCUCCUUCUGUUUCCCCCACGGCAAGUCAGGCUGCCAGCACUAUGAGCUCCUGAGCGAGUAGGGGCUUCAAGGUUGUUAUUGUGAGAUGAGGAUUCUCACAGAUGCAGAGCGAAUUCAUUAUCGUCCUUACCGCCAACUGGCCGAUUUCUUGAAGGAUUCCAGACUCCCAAGGAAAGGUUAAAGAAAGAAAAGGAGUCCCUAACAGAGUUACUUCAAAUUCAUAUUAGAGGUGUCCCUCCCCUCGAUUUUAUAUAAGAAACUCUACCGAAACGUGUAAAAGCAGACACAAGCGUUUGAUUCCAUUUGUCUGGUAUCAUUAGACAAGUAGAAAUUGGCUACCGCACAGAAAGAUUCAAAUAAAAUGACACCAAAUGACUCAGCAAUUUAAAUAUGUGAUUUAAAGGGAAAAUAUUUCUGAUAAAUUGUUAAGUCACUCAAAAUUUGCUUAAUAAUACACUUGCUGAAUCAUGCUUAUGUUAAUCUAAAAAACUGGAAAAUACUAUUACGUGAAAUUUUUGACAUUUCAGUGAAAGACUAGUUCUGGGAAAUAGAUCAGUUGCCAGGAAAACAUUAACUAAAAAAAAAUUUUUUUUUUUAAUUUCUUAAUGAGAUGCUUAGAAAAUCCACUUACUAUUUAGACCAGGUAGAGCAGUGAUUCUCAACUGGAGGUGCUUUUGGUGACUCUUCUCCCCUGGACAUUUGCCAGUGUAUGGAGACUUUUGGUUGUCACAAUUGUGUGUGUGUGGGGGGGGUUACUACUGGUAUCUAGUGAGUAAAGGCCAAGGAUAAUACUGCUAAACAUCCUACAGUGCACAAGACAGCCCCCUACAACAAAGAAGUAUCUUGCCCAGAAUGUCAUCAUUUCUGCUGUUCAGGAACCCUAAACUAAAGCAAUAAUCUAAGGCUUUAUAUGAUACCCAAGUGGGACUUGGGCUUUGUACCUAUUUACUUUUGUUGUUUAUGCUUAUGUUUUGGCAUGUCUAUUAUUCUUCCAUCUUUAUAUCUUGGUACUUACUAUGAACCUCUGUAAUACUUUAUUAUUCCCCUUGGGCCAUAUGAUUAAUUUUCUUUUCUUUUUUCUUCAUUUACUUUGAAAAUUUAAAUUUUUUGGAAUGGGUGAUAUAUUCAUAAGGAUCAAAAAUAAAAACUGUAUGGAAAUUUA